rnacentral:lncRNA from 10 species
GCUUUUAUAAGGGACUUCCUCCUUCACUCAGCUGUCAUUCUUCUCUCUCCUGCUGCUUUGUGAACAAGUAUAUGUUUGCUUCCCCUUCUGCCAUGAUUGUAAUUUUCCUGAGGCCUCCCAUUCCUGUGGAACUAGACCUCUCAACAAGGAUUAACCCAAUAUCUCCCAUUUUCAAGUUUACAUGGUAUCAAAAGGAAUAAGACAGAUACAUAAACAAAUGGAGACAAAUUUUGGACAACACAAUGGGGAGUGCACUCAGGCAACUCAAAACCAACUCAAAAUCUGAUUUCAACCAAAAUGCAAAGCAGGUGGUAUUGCUUCCCUUGGUGGUACUGGACAAAUGGCUUAGCCUAGACAGGAAAACAAUAGGCUCCCUACAUAUGCUCGAUUACCUCAUCCUUUGACCAAAUCUGCUCCUGAUCUCUGUUCUUUCCCAGUAGUGAAAGGGACGUGCAAUUUUGUGCACAGAACACCCCUUGGGAGAGUCCCUGGGGAAAAUCUCACUGGCAGCUGCUGGGAUCCUCCUGAAGACUAUCUCAUUACAAGCCACUGGCCACUGAACACAGCACUGUCCCAGUCUCUUCUGGCUGCCAUGCCAAAUUUUGUUCCCAGACCAAACUGAGGGUUGGGCUGCUAUUUCUUGUGGCCCAAUAACGAGAUGCAGAUGAACUGGGGAGGAAGAGAGUUUUUAUUUCUGCAACCGGUUACACAGAGAAGGCCUGGAAAUUAUCGCCAGACCAACUCAAAAUUACAAAAUUUUCCAGAGCUUACAUACCUUCUAAGCUAUACGUCUACAUCUCUAUUUUCCCAAAAGGUUGAGAAGCAAAGACAACCCAGUAGCAAUAAAUAUCCCUAAUACUCUAAGAGUGAUCUUCAAAUAUGCAAUUCCACUAAAACACAACUUCAGGAAAAUGUGUGAUUCUAAGAAUGAGCAAGAAAUGAACAAGAAGACCAUGAGAAAGUAAUAAGAUGGUCGAAUGCAGUCAUGCAAAAAGACACAGCAGAAUCCCAUUUUCUGAUCCAACAUUAAAAAAAGCUUGGAAGUCAUCACCCUCAUCCUCUCAGCAAGGAAAAAGCUGAACAAACUGAAAAUCAACACCUUUCUUUAGAUACAGCAAAGAAUUAAAGUCACAGGGCAAACCACUGACCUGAAAACUGGAGAGACAAGCAGAGACUGAGAAUCACAGCUUAUGAAGAACGGAAGUUCAGAGGCAAAAGCCCACUACUAUGGCUGCAGUGUUGAAAAGACAUAAAUUAUUAUUAAAAAAUUACUGAUGGCUCAACGUGGACAACUCUGACAGUUAAAAACCCUGGUGGGGAUGAGUUUCAGGGGGCCUCAAAUUUUUGAGAGAUUUACCUCCGGCAGCCCUACCAGGUUUUGUAAAAAAACUACAGAAAAAUCCCCUGUGAUUUCAUCUGGAGGGCAAAAAAGUCGCCAUUUAAAAAUAAGCCUGAGCUCUCAGUUCUGUCAACAAAGUACUGCCCUCCAAAGAAACUAAUUUACCAGCGCCUAACUGAUCCAGGGAAAUGGAAAUAUUCAAAUUAAACCACCUCUAUUCCUUGAUGUGCGUGAAGAAAAAUACCUGACAUCAGGCACCAGGAUUUAUUGUCUCACCUAGAGACAGUAAAACCAGAGAAGCACUUGUAAAAGUCAUAGCCCGGGGCACAAGCUCACUGAGAGACUGAAACCUAUCAUUUUAAUUGCAUGUGAAUGCAUGCAAACAUGUACAUACUCAUAUUUGGCAAUAAAGUUGUUCUACUGUUAUCAGUUAUAUCAAGACACU